AUGACCGGAAAACUGACUUAACUGCACGUCGGAAAAGUUUUGUGGAUUUCCAUUGACCUUUCUUGUGAGAUGAUUGUGGCAAGAGAACUGGAGCGGCAGGUAACCGUGAGGGUGACCUGUCGGGAGCCACAACAUUUCCUGGUUGAAGACGGCCCAUCGGCAGUGUUUUUGCGGGGCGGCAGGUAACCGGGAGGGUGACCUGUCGGGAGCGACGACAUUUGCUGGUUGAAGACGGCCCAUCGGCAGUGUUUUUGGUGAUGGCAUUAUUAUUUGUUAAUUUUCUUGAAAGAGCUUCGACUUCGAGGGUUCAAUACAAGAAGGGAAAUAUAUGAUAUGCCAU
rnacentral:lncRNA from 1 species